rnacentral:sRNA from 1 species
CCUCUGUAUGGAAACUUGUUUCAGGGCCAAAUCCUUGUAGCUGUCUUCUUGCCCCGGUCAGUGCCAGCCGUACUAUUCACAACACUGCUGCUACCGAGGCCUAGGAUCAGUUCUUAAGAGCAGCCCCGGUAACUGGAGGAAUGGGAGCCGUUUUGAUGAGAAAAAUGGGCUGGAGAGAAGGAGAAGGAUUAGGAAAAAACAAAGAAGGCAAUAAGGAACCCAUCCUAGUUGAUUUUAAGACAGACCGAAAAGGUCUUGUUGCAGUAGGAGAAAGAGCACAAAAGAGGUCUGGGAACUUCUCUGCUGCAAUGAAAGAUCUGUCAGGCAAACAUCCUGUGUCUGCUUUGAUGGAAAUCUGUAAUAAGAGAAGGUGGCAACCACCUGAAUUUCUAUUGGUCCAUGAUAGUGGCCCUGAUCAUCGCAAACAUUUUCUCUUUAGGGUAUUGAGAAAUGGAAGCCCUUACCAGCCCAAUUGUAUGUUUUUCUUGAAUAGGUAUUGAUAAAUGGAAGCGCUUACCAGCCCAGCUUUGCCAGCCCUAAUAAGAAGCAUGCUAAAGCCACAGCAGCUACUGUGGUUCUUCAAGCAAUGGGCCUUGUACCAAAGGACCUCAUGGCUAAUGCCACUUGCUUCAGGAGUGCCUCACGUAGAUAGAUUGAGGUUUUAUAAUAAUCAUUUCAGAUAAUUUUACUCUGCAUCACAAUGUAUUUCCUCUUUAAUGUUGUAAAUAUUUGGCAAUUUAAGACAUUGUGUAAAAAGCAAUCUGUAAAAACAUCUCCAGGCUUUGAUUUUUGUACCAUGGAAAUUGUAUUUAACCAUACAGGGUUUUGGUAUGUUUAUAUUGUUUACCUUAGUGAUGUAUUUGUUUAAGUGGCUAACAUCCAAACGACUGUUUGAAGGCAUCAGAGUAAUCUUCAGUGUGGAAUGUUAAAUAACGCUUUUAUACUGUAUUUUGUACUAU